rnacentral:rRNA from 1 species
UACGAAGGGGGCUAGCGUUGUUCGGAAUCACUGGGCGUAAAGCGCACGUAGGCGGAUCUUUAAGUCAGAGGUGAAAUCCCAAGGCUCAACCUUGGAACUGCCUUUGAUACUGGGGAUCUCGAGUCCGGAAGAGGUUGGUGGAACUGCGAGUGUAGAGGUGAAAUUCGUAGAUAUUCGCAAGAACACCAGUGGCGAAGGCGGCCAACUGGUCCGGAACUGACGCUGAGGUGCGAAAGCGUGGGGAGCAAACAGGG